rnacentral:rRNA from 1 species
ACGAACGCUGGCGGCGUGCCUAAUACAUGCAAGUAGGACGCUGAAGAGAGGAGCUUGCUCUUCUUGGAUGAGUUGCGAACGGGUGAGUAACGCGUAGGUAACCUGCCUUGUAGCGGGGGAUAACUAUUGGAAACGAUAGCUAAUACCGCAUAACAAUGGAUGACACAUGUCAUUUAUUUGAAAGGGGCAAUUGCUCCACUACAAGAUGGACCUGCGUUGUAUUAGCUAGUAGGUGAGGUAAUGGCUCACCUAGGCGACGAUACAUAGCCGACCUGAGAGGGUGAUCGGCCACACUGGGACUGAGACACGGCCCAGACUCCUACGGGAGGCAGCAGUAGGGAAUCUUCGGCAAUGGGGGCAACCCUGACCGAGCAACGCCGCGUGAGUGAAGAAGGUUUUCGGAUCGUAAAGCUCUGUUGUAAGUCAAGAACGGGUGUGAGAGUGGAAAGUUCACACUGUGACGGUAGCUUACCAGAAAGGGACGGCUAACUACGUG